UAGGUUUUUUUUUUUUUUGGUCUCUUUCAGCACCUUAAAUAUUUAUCCUACUGUCUUUUUGGCAUCCACAGUAUCUGAAGAAAAACCAGCUGCUAAUCUUAUUAAGAAUCUCUUGUAAGUGAUGAGCCUCUUCUCUUCUUGCUUUCAAGAUUCUCUUUGUGACUUUUGACAAUUUGAAUACAACGUAUCUCAGUGUGAAUCUCUUUGCAUUUACCUUACUUGUGUAAGGUUGGUGGAAAAGUAAUUGUGGUUUUUGUUAUUGAAAGUAAUGGCAAAACUGCAAUUACUUUUGCACCAGCCUAUAUAGUUCACUUAGCGUUUUGAAUGUGUAGAUUCAUGUCUUUCAUCAAAUUGGGAGAGUUUUUAACCAUUAUUUCCUCAAAUAUAUGUUCUGGCCCUUUCUUUCUUCUCCUUCUGGGACUCCCAUUAUAUGUAUGUUGGUAUGCUUGAUGCUGUCCCAUAGUUCUCUGAGGAUUGGUUCAUUUUUUUUAAAUAGCUUUAUUGAGACAUCAUUGACAUAUAAAAAUUAUAUAUAUUUAAAGUGUACAAUUUGAUGUCUUGAUAUGUGUACGUUGUGAAAUGAUCACAACCAAACUAAUAAACAUAUCCAGUACCUCUACAUAGUUACCAUUGUACAUGUGUGUAAUUAGAUUUAAAAUUUAUCCUCUUAACAAAUUAUCACUAUACAAUAUUGUUUAACUGUCAUUACCCUGUUGUACAUUGAAACUCCAGGAAUUAUUUAUCUUUGCUAAUUCUUCUUUAUUCUUCUUUUUGCUUCAUACAAUAGAUAAUCUCAAUUAACCUUCCUUCAAGUUUGCUUAUUCUUUGUUCUGUUGUUGAACCACUCUAAUUAACUUUUCAUUGCAGUAAUUGUACUUUUCAGCUUCAGAAUUUCUAUUAGGUUGUUUCUUAUAUUUUGUAUAGCUUUAUUGAUAUUCUCUAUAUGGUGACACAUCAUUCUUCUGGUUUCCUUUAGUUCUUUGUCCAUGGUUCCCUUUUAACUCUUUGAACAUAUGUUAAGACAGUUGAUUUAAAGUCUUUGUCUGGUAAGUCCAGUGUCUGGGCUUCUUCAGGGACUGUUUCUAUACAUUUCUUAUUUUCCUGCAAAUGGGCCGUAAUUUCUUGCUUCUUUGCAUGUGUCAUAACAUUUUGUGGCAAAGUGGAUAUUUUGAAUAAUAUGACAACUUUGGAAAUCAGAUUCUCCUUCUUCUCCAGAGUUUGUUGUUGCUGCUUGUUGUAGUUUGUUGUUGUUUAACACUUUAAUGGUUUAGACACUUCUCUAAACCAUUUUUGUUAAAGCUAUAUUCCUUGUCAUUGGCCACUGAAGUUUUGUUAUUUUAGCUUAGUGGUCAGCUAGUGAUUUGAAGAGAUUUCCUGAAAUAGUGAGAGCCAAAAGUAUAAAAUACUCUCCCAGUCUUUGCAGGUUGGCUUUGCAUGAGGAACUCCUUCAAUGCUUGGCCAGGUUGUUUAAAACUCUGCCUUAACCUUCACUCCCUCCUUGUGUGGAGCCUAAAAGUUAGAUAGAUGUUAAAGAUUAGAGUCUUUUCAGGUGUCUCUGGGCAUAUGUCCAGCCUGGGCAUGUAUGUGACCUUCUGGAUUUCUUCAUAUAUACAGAAGCUUUUCAAAGUCAUCAUUUCUCCAUGUAUCUCCAUGUGUGCUCUCUUUCUUCCCAGACUUUUCUUGUUGCUUGUUGCUUGCUCCAACUGUCAUCCUUUGUCUCAGGUGGCUAAGGCUAAUACAUUUGCUUUUACAUGCUUUCAACAAACACCAUCUGGAAACUGCUUAUGCCUUGGAGAAAGUUUGAGUCAGGUAAAAGAAAAGCAAGCCCUUGUGCCAACCCUUCAGGGAGCCCAGACAGAUCAAAACACACCACCAUGAUUCCUUGAAAAUAAGUCCAUAUUUCUCCCUCUGAUGCCAGCAACCUGCAUCUGGAAUGUGAGCUGCUGUCUUAGCUGCUACCAAGCUGAUGAUGGGGCAUGGUAAGCAGAAAAUGCAUUUUAGAAGAAAAUGAGUCUCUGAUCUCAGGAUUUGUCUGAUCUCUCACGAUUGGGAUGGCCCAUUCCUAGAGGGGGAGAAGACCUGGAAAACACUGCUAGACCAACUCAAAAUUACAAAGUUUUCCAGAGCUUAUAUGUCUUCUAAGCCAUAUGUCUAUGUCUGCAGGAAUGUAGACAAUUCAGAGGCUUUGUUCCCCAUAAUUUGGAACUUUUCUUCAGAUUUGACCAAGUCGGGUAGAGAUGAUCAAACCUAAUGGGAAAAAGACUGAAACAACAAAAACAGAAACAGGCAAACACAACCAGUAGCUCUGGUGGCCUUUACCUCAGGCUUUGAUGACAGACAGAGGAACCAACAAUCUAACCUGAUGCCUGCCUCUCCCCACGCCAGUGCUGAGGAGCUCCUGCAGAGAAAGCCUGCUCUUCCAGCCCUUGUAUUCAGGACAGGUGCCGGGUGGUCCCUCAAGACCCUUUUUCAGCAGUAAAUCCUACCUGCUUUCACUGAGUUCUCACUAAGUUUAUUUGGUUUAAUCUAGGUUGUCUGA
rnacentral:lncRNA from 1 species